rnacentral:lncRNA from 1 species
UAUCUAUCUAUCUAUUUACUUUCAUUUACUUAUUUUUGAGAAUAGGUCUCACUAUGUAGCUAUCAAUGGCCUGGAACUGGCUAUGUAGGCCAGGCUGGCAUUGAACUCAAAGAGAUCCUCCUGCCUCUACCUUCUAAAUGCUGGGAUUUAGAGGUGUUUGCCCCCACACCUGACCCUCUCUUUUAAAACUUUUAUUUGGGCCUGGAAGGAUGGCUCAGUGGUUAAGAACACUGGCUGUUCUUCCAGAGGAUCCAGGUUCAAUUCCCAGUACCCACAUGGCAGCUCACACCUGUCUAUAACUCCAGGUCCAGGGGACCCGACUUCACAGAGACCUGCAUGCAGGCAAAACACCAUGCACAUAAAAUAAAAUAGUUCAACAAGCCCUUUAUUUUAUGUGGUGUGUGUCUGAAUAAGAGCACACAUGUAACACAGUUUAUGUGUAGAGAUCAGAGAACAGGUCUCGGGGUGAUUCUACUGUAGGAUCCAUGAGCUGAUCUAGUUUACCAGAUUUGCUCUGACCCCACCAGCUAUCUCACCAGCCAGCCAACACACACACUAGUGUGUGUGUGUCUGUGUGUGUGUGUGUGUGUGUGUGUGUGUGUGUGUGUGUGUGUGUGUGAGGCAGGGUCUCAUGUAGCCUAGCUGAUCUUGAAUUAGCUGUGUAGCUGAAGAUGAUCUUUGACUCCUGAUUUUUCCCAAACUCUUCUCCAGUGCCGGGAUCAGACUUGACACCAAGAUUAGCGGUUCCUCUUUCUGAAGGUGGCUUUUGCUUUAUCCUGCUGGAGGAUCUCUCACAAGGGCCCAGCUCUUCCUUUAUGUGUCCUGCAACCACGCCUAAACAGUCACCCCUGCCCACUUCCCUCCCUACCCACUUUCCCAGAGCAAGAACAAGAGAACAAACAAGACAAACCCAGAGGCGACGGUAGUGGCAGCAACGAGGGAGACAGGGAACCGGCCUUCAUUCCCCGGCUUCCCUGAUCCCGACCUUAAUCCCUGCUCAGCAUCCUGUCAGCCGGCUGUUCUGAGCUGACAUUGCUGCAGGCACCUUCUCCGCAUCCCUUCCUCAGAUCUACCUCCUCUGGGGACUUUUAAAGAGGAGCCCGAGGUUUCUCUGUUACAGGCCGAUUCGCUGGCUGCCC